GAAAAAAGAACAUAAACAAAUUAUAUUGCAAUACUUCAUGUGGGAUAAAAGGAGACACCUACAGAUAUAAAAAUGGAUCUUACAUUUAUUCACACUCCAUAAUCUGUUUACGUUUUAACCAGUGGCGGAUCCAGGGCCUGAUCUCGGGAGGGGCACUUGUAGAUUAGUUAAAGAAAUAAUCCAGACACAAUAACCACUACAGCUCAGUGUAGUGGUUAUGGUGUCAAUAGUGCCGGGAUCCCCUCCCACAGUAAGUAGUCAAACCGUUUAAGAACAGUUUGACAACUUACCUGAGAUCUGCUGGGAAAUGGGGCUGUAGUAGGGCAUAGGAGCAGUGGUGUGUGUGAGUGGUGCAAUGUGUAAGGGGUGCAGUGUGUGUGUGAAGGUUGUAGUGUGUGAGUGAGUGCAGUGUAUGUGUAACAGUUGCAGUGUGUGUA